rnacentral:misc_RNA from 1 species
GAUGAAGAACGCAGCGAAAUGCGAUAAGUAAUGUGAAUUGCAGAAUUCAGUGAAUCAUCGAGUCUUUGAACGCACAUUGCGCCCCCUGGUAUUCCGGGGGGCAUGCCUGUCCGAGCGUCAUUGCCGCCCUCAAGCACGGCUUGUGUGUUGGGCCCCCGCCCCCCGGCUUCGGGGGGCGGGCCCGAAAGGCAGCGGCGGCACCGCGUCCGGUCCUCGAGCGUAUGGGGCUUCGUCACCCGCUCUGUAGGCCCGGCCGGCGCCCGCCGGCGACCCCAAUCAAUCUUUCCAGGUUGACCUCGGAUCAGGUAGGGAUACCCGCUGAACUUAAGCAUAUCGAUAAGCGGAGGA